rnacentral:lncRNA from 1 species
CAUUUCUUCAUUGAUUUAUGCUCAGCUUUCAGUUCCACAGAUCUGUGAGUCUGCUGUGUAAGAAGGGGCUGUUGCUGGGACCAGCAUCACCAGGGAGAUGGAGCCUGGGGCUCUGCCUACCCAAAUCCUCACUUGUUGGAUGGACCAUGCCCAAAUUCUGCUUCUGGAAAAGAAAAGGGGGGGUUCAGCAAGGAGUGGGAACCCUCCUACUGGAAAUUUUGUGAAGUCUGCAAAAGACUUUGCUCUCCAUCAAAGGUGCUACAGAAGAUAUUGUGUAAUGAGCUGAUGAGAUCAAGGCAUCUCACCCCCUGGCAACACUUUAAUUGUGCUUUCUAACAAGUUUAGAUCAUUGGGAUAAAUCCCUUUCAUCUUUCUCCUAGGUCAGAUUUAAUCCAAUCCUGUAGGGUUCUCAUGCUUCCCUUAAGCUAGUUCUAUGCAGACUUUGCAGUGGCUGAUGAGCAACAGGGAAGACAAACUCCCUGGCCACAUGCUCAUUCCCAUAGCCUGGAGGAAGGCCCAGGCAUAUGGACCCAUGUGGACAUAACUAUUUCUCAGCCCAGUACACUCUCUCUCUUGAUGUCUCUCCAGUCUGCUUGUAGCGACUCAAGCCUCCACAAGCACAGAGAAGAGCCCAACAUCCAUUGAGCAAUUCCUUGGACAAUGCGAGAUGGUUUGGGUGUGUUCACUUGGAGCUCACAAUGCUUUUGUCCCCUUUGGAAAGGUCUUUCUUAAGUACCUUCCAAUGCAGAUUAAACAACUCUUCCUUGCCAGGUGGGUGAAGGCUGCCUUUGUGCUGGUGGGCUGUUCUAUGCACUCUUCUGUGGCCAUGCUCAGCGGUCAGCAGGAGACUCCACGAUCUCUGUGGAGUCAAUUUACAAUGGUUACCACUACUUCUGAACAUCUUCUUGGUUAAACACUAAAGGGAACACUCCCAUAUUUUAGCUAGCUAUGAUGGGCUUGGUUCUAUGUCAUUUUGUCUUUGGAGAUAUUUUAGUCCAAGUCUGAUGCUGUCCAGCUUUGAGCUCCACACUUUACCACCCACUCUCCACCCCAAGUACCUACAGGGCCAAGCUAAGUCAAGAUCUGACACAGGACAUUAAAGGACACAAAAGUCAUGAAUGUAUGGACUUCUCAGUGGUAUUUUCCCACCUAACUUUCUCUCACCCCUUUGAAUCUGCUAGGAUUGCUCGUAACAGAGCAUUACCAAAGGGUUUAAUGAAACCCUCCAGCACAAGAAGAGCACAGGCUUUGUAUGCU